rnacentral:lncRNA from 1 species
CAGCCAAAGCAACCCAGACGGCGAGUCCUCCAAAUGAAAUUUGGAGUUCCAUGAGCGUACACUAAAACAAAGGAAAAGAAUAAAACGCAACAAAGUCUGCUGGAGCAAACUUCAAAAAUUUCUCCCGGAGCAGAUUCCAGAAGUAGCAAGUACCACGUUAUUAGAAUCCAUAAAAAUAUCUGUUUUUGUACCCAAUCGUUCUUUUCUGUCUGAAUUAUCUUGUAAAUAUUAUACGAAUAUAUAUAUAUAUAUAUCUGUCUGCCCUGCUUGCCACGUUUUUUUAUCACUUAUCAUUUUCUUUUACUUAAUAGUUUUGACGAACGUGCUUGCGUUGGGAUUUUUUUUAUAGAAAAAGUCCAAUAGGAUUAAAAAUAUUAUUACAUGCAUACAAGUAAUGUACUUGGAUGAAUAAAAUAUAAUAAUAUAUUCCAUCAAUAUUUAUAUUUAUAAUGUAUAUUUGACUUGAAUCUAAUGAGUUACGUAUAGUGUGCAACUAUGAUCAUCAUUAACUUAAAUUCUGUGCUAAAUAAACUUGGCAAAACAAUAAUAAAAUUAUUUGUAAUAUAAAAAUUAAAAAUAUUAGCUUUCAACUUUGUGAAGAGAGGUACAAUCAAAUGAUGACUUACGAACCCAAUACAAUUUUGUGUACCAAACAAUUUUGUGAUUGAUUAGAAUGACAGACAUUGUUUGAUACUUGGCAGCUGUACGACUCUCUUUAUUAAGCUCAUGUCUCAGUAAAAUGACAGACAAAUAUAGUUUUUCAGCAACUGAGACAAACAUAUAUAUAUAUAUAUAUAUAUAUAUACACAUCUAUUCUGCAACCCUCUGAGAGAUUACCAGUCAUUAGCUCCCUUUGGUACGUCCAAAAUAAUUGCAAUGGUUGUGAGAAUCGUCUUCUGCGCAUAAAGUAUCCUACUUUAAGACACUGGCAUAUUUUGAAAAGUGAGAAAGGCACAACGACACAAACACAACCCAAAGUCAAGUCAAAGGUUUUGAUGUAUUCGUAACCGACUAGGAAACCAGUUGGCAGUGUCUCAAAGCAAGCCUCAAAUAAACAAUGGAAUCACGUGCUAAUAAUUGUCAACCCUUUAGAUGAUUCUAUUGUUAAAAAAAAAAAUUAAGAGAUAUGUUAGUUUUAAGUAAUAUUUUGUUAAAAAAUAAGAGGAAGAAGAAUGAGACUAGUAGAAAGAUUCAAUUGUUCAUUUGUGAUUUUUAUUAUAAAAAAAAAAAAAAAAAACUUUUAAGUAUAUGCAUUUAUAAAUAUUAAUACAAUUUUUAAAAUUUUAAAUGUAUAUAUUAUAAUUACAAAUUUUAAAUGUAUAUAUUAGAAAAACUUAAAUUACAAUAUUUAUAAUUUUAACUUCUUAAUAAGAUAAAGAGUCAUUUUAAUUUAUAAAUUAUUAUUUUUAACUCUUUAAUUUGUACAUUAAUAUUUUCAGUAUUUUUAAAUUCACGAAUUUCUUUUUUCCUCCACAACUAGUAUAUAAUCUUUGAAAAUUUUUAAAUUUAAGUAGCUUGGUGAAAAUAUGUACAACAUGGCCUUGAGUCUUCAAGCACUCAAUCUCAAGUUUUGUUUUAGCAAUGUAAUCCCUGAUAAAAUGGAAUGUGCAUACUUCAUUUAUAAAAUACUAAAUUAUUAAUUAAUGUUUCCAUGGACUUAUUGUCAAUAGAAAUUUCAAUAGCUCUUCUUGAACCUACUUUUACAAUAUUCAGAAAUUGACAACAAAUGAUAGUUUACAAAAAAAACUCAAUAGAACUUAUGUAAAAUCAAGUGAGCACCAAAUUCAGGAAUGAAUACUAAAAAUCAUGCAAGGGGCAUGAGUAUAACAUGGCAAUAGCUCAAACGUGAAAUGUUGCAAGAUCAUUGCCAGUGCCACUUUUGCUUUUAGCACUAAGUUUUGACUAAUGCAAAUCCUGGGACCCCAUCCAAAAGGAAAGAAAGAAACUUGGUUCUUCGUCGCCUUUGAAACUCCUUCUGCAAACCUUUCUAGUUUGAAAUCAAGUGCAUCAUCACCCCAGAUCUCAGAAUCAUGGUGAACUAGGAUUAUUGGCAUUAAGAGUCUCAGUCCUGCUGGUAGUAUUAAGUUUCCAAGUCUUGUUUCUUUCUCCACUGAUCGAACAAACACCGAUAGAGGAGGGUAUAACCUCAUAACUUCAUUCAAGAUCACUGUUACCUACACCAAACAUAUUUAGUAUUCAAGUUAAGUAAUAGCAAAAGAGAUUCAAGUUGACUAAUAGCAAAAAGUGGUAGAUGUUAAGAUAUUGACCAUGAACAACAAUUCCCUAAACCCAUUAAAACAAAAUACCUUCUUACAAUAAUUAAUCCCAUCUUAACUAGCUCAAGAAAUCGGCUGAGAAAAGCACAAUAUGUUUAUGUUGAUCGUGAUCCAAAUUUCAAUUCUAUAUAGUAAAAACAAAAAUACAAUUUAAAUAUAGUAGACAUGUUAAUGAAACAACACUUUAAUUCAAAUGUGUUUUCGUGAUUUCUACUUUGACAAUCAAAAUUUAUGAAAUUUUAAUUCAAUCCAAUCAAAAUUUUCUGAGAAAUCUAUGGAACAAUAAUAAAGAAAAUAUACUUACAACUUUAAGCUGACUCAAUCCAUUAAAAUUAGGCUGCCUAUUACCAAAUACUUCCAAAACUUCAUCUCUAGCACGAGAUUGCCAAUUUGUAUGCUUGGCCAGCAGAACCAUUGUCCAAACAAGCAAUACAGAAGUGGUCUCUUGGCCUGCAAAGUAAAAUAUCUUGCACUCGUCGAUCACGUCUGCAAUGGUCAUUUCAACAUCUUUCUUUUCUUCACGUUCUUGAAUCUUUCUAGAAUUGGAUUCCAGCAAUACAGAGAGUAAGUCACUGUUGUUAACUUCCCUGCUUCCAUUGCCUUCUUUCUUUUAUCUAUGAUCCCUUUGAGUGAAUCUUGUACCUCUUUGUCAAUUGCUCUCAUAACUUAGUUGGUAGAAACCUUUAUAUAUGUAAAAUGUUAAGCUAGCGUAACAAAAAACCAAGAAAGGGAUAGCAAGUUUUAACCAAUUUAUAAAAUGAUAUUCAGAAGAAAACAGGAGCUAGCAAGCAAAUAUUCAACAGCAUGCCUCGAGAGUUGUAUUCAACAGAAUUUGUUCAAAGCUAUGUUUUGUUUCUGCCAGCGAAGUGCCUUCAAAUUUUCAGAUACUUAUAGAAAAAUUUCACACAAGAGUCAUGAAAUACACAUCCCUUUUCAUUUUCUUUUUAAGAACGUCAUGCAUUGCAUAUUUAGAUUACCUCCAUCCUAGAACAUAAACUUUUUGGCAAGCUUGGUUAUUAGUUUGGCAAGUUCAUCUUGAAGUUCAAAGAUUCUUUUCCCUUCCUCAUAGCUGCUUCCAAAUGCUAUUUGAGAAAUCAAAUCACUUGUCAAAUUAACAAGAUACGGCCAUACAUCCAACUCACACCAUCCUUCAGCAGAGACUAACUCUUCCCAUUUGCUGAUCAUAUUGCUACAACUUUUGUAGAUUGCAGGUAGCAUAUUCUGCUUAGCAAAAAGAGAAAUCAAAACUUUUUAGCUACCCAAAAUAAUAUACAAAUUUGGAUCCCCUAACAUAGCUUGCUAUCUAUCCUCAUCGAUCAGACUGAUACACACAUACCUAUAUAACCAGACUUAGGUACAUUACAACUGAAAAAUAUCUGUUAAAUAGAAGAAAAAAAAUUAAACUGAGUGAAACUGUGAAAGAACCUUUAACUUCUCAAAGUUGAAUGCUGGGGUGAUGAUUCUUCUUUGCUUGGCGCAUUUCUCCCCUUCGAGGCUUGGGAGACCACAUGUCAACGGUCUGACAAGCGGGUUGAUGGCAUUUUGCUUGGAAAAGUCAGUCCUCCUGGUAAGUAUAUCUUUUAUGUGUUCAGGGUUCAUUACAAUCAUCCUUGGCACAGGUCCAUCCCAUGAAAAACAAUUUUUCCCUGCCAUUAUUUCAAAAUCUAAUAUAACGGUAGUCUGUUAGCUUCACCAAAUCAAUUUUUAGUAUUUGGACAGGUGAGCUAUUACCGGGGAAGUUCCACUAGAACGAUGAAGUAUUACAUCUACUCUCUCCAUUUAUAACAGUUCCAAUUCGGUGUCAGAGCAAAAUUUGACUUGAUAUUCAUGUCAAAUGUUAGCUACUAGUUUCUAACACUUAGCCCAUAGCAGACUAUAUUGUAUGAGCAAAGAAGUGAUAUAACAAAUGAAACUACUACAAGUCUGCGAGUCAGUUCAAAAGAUUUUAGAAUUUCUCUUUACAUGAACAUAAGUGAUAGAAGAAAAAAGCAGAAGAAAAGGCACCAUGGUCAUUAGAAGGCAUGAUCCUACCGUACCAUAUUUCUUCACAUUGUAGUAAAAACUUGGCGCAACACAUGGUGCACAAUCAUCAGUAACGCUAUUGGAUUUGCACAACAUUGCUUUCUGUAACAUCAUGGAAUUCUCUAUCUUGUCCCCAAAAAAUAGCCGAUAGGGGUUGCCAGUUAAACCUUGUUGCCUCAGCCAUUUCUCCAGUUUCUUGGGCCUCAACCACACCCAGUUGAGCAUCCACCAUGCCCAUAUCAGUAUUGCCGUGCCUAAACAAACCCACACUUCUGCUGUCGCUGCUGAAGAUAUUUCCAUCUGAUUCAUAUUGAAAAAAAAAAAACGAAGAUAUUUGAUUUGAUCUUUCUUCCUAUAUGUAUAUAUGAAUCUGUUUCUGUUUAUACUAACAAAUUAUGUCAUCUAAUAAACAUGUCCAAUUACAUAAAACAUAAAAGACAAAGUAGACAAUUGUGAAAAGUGAAAUUAGAAAUUUAAUGUUUAAAGUAGAUAAAAGCUAAAAAAAUACAUACAUAUAGUUCAAGUUAUAUUUUGGGGAAUUAGUUUUACAAAGCAGCCAGGUGGACUUUACUGCCAAGAUCGAAGAAUUUUCAACAGAAACACACAAAAAAGCGUGUUGCUGUACAUCUGGGUUCCAACUUUUAACAUUUCGACAUAAAAAACCAAAAACCAAAAGGAAAAAAAAGGUUCCAGGCUGAAUUCAAAUGAAAAGUGGUAGAUGAAAUCCCUACUUAUACCAUGUCAAUGGACUUGCUUCCCAACAAAAUAUGAAGAUUUGGAUAAACACACACGAAGAUUCAAAACAACCAAGCACUCGGGUUUAUACUAGUUGCAUAGAUAGGACUCCAUUUGCAGAAAAGAUCACAGGAAGGGCUGAGAUUUAGAACCCUUUCCUGCUCUCUUUCAACCCAAAAGUUUUCCCAUGGUGAAAGGGAUUUCUCUGGUGUUCCAGUUUAUCAUAAAGCCAGCAGAAUACCGACAGGACUUAGAUAAAGCUAUCCAUCAAUUCACACAUGUAGGACUCGGGCAAUAACAAACAAUGGAUUGUCUGUCACAUUAAAGUCCGGAUAACUGAAAAGAAAUUGUUAAAUUGGCUCUGCUGCUGAAACCCUUGAUAACCUUCUCCUUGAGUGAUAGCUAGUGAAGAUGCUGAGGUUGCAGAAACAUUAGCAAUCAAUCUAUUGUAGCAGACUUGGCUGCUGCUGAAACUCUUGAUAACCUUCUCCUUGAGUGGUAGCUAGUGAAGAUGCUGAGGUUGCAGAAACAUUAGCAAUCAAUCUAUCAUAGCAGACUUGACCUCACGUGGAAGUGGAGGAAAGAGAAGUGAGAAGAGAUCAGGACUUUGAUUGAACAGGUGAUGAUCACACAGUGGAAGUCCGAUGUCACAUCUUGUCUUCAACAACUGCAGGACAACUUUAGCCGACUAGUUUAUAUAUAUACAUAUAUUAUGAGGUGUAAACAUAUUGAGCCAAGCAUAUAAGUCAGAUUUCACAUUAAUUAAAUUUUGUGUCAAGUCGUGUACCUAAUUAUUCUCAAAACGAAGUGAAAAAGACAAGCUUUUAGCUUGUCUAGGAGGAAAGCUGGAAUGAUGAUUCUCUAUGUGGAGCCCAUUUCAGAUCCUGGAGAAGAAAGAGCGCAGUCAACAGAAAAUUGGAGAGAGGGUUUGUAUUUAUCUUCCAGAAAUCACUGAUCUUGUCAAACCGUUCUUUCAUGUGAUCUGGAUUCAUUAUAGUCACCCUCGGCAGAGGUGUGGAUCUAAAACAAUCUUUUCCUGCCAGCAUUUUUUUCAAUUCAAAACCAAGGUUGAAGACAAACCAAUCUUAUCAGGCAGCCAGGGGAGGGAGCAUCAGACCUUCUAGACGUGGAGCAGCAUAAAACCACAGAAAAGCUGAACAACAAGAAAACAGAAUUGCACAGAAGAGCGGAUCAACAAGACAAAUAAUACAGGAUCACUUUCUAAUUCUCCUUUCUACUUGAAAGUUAUCUGGAUUAAUAUAACUAUUGGAGUGUCUACAUCAUCAAGAUUCAAGUUUUUUUUCCCCUGACAUCCUUUUCCAUAUUCUUCCAAUCAUUUAUACAACUCUACUACAGGAGAUAAUAUUUUUCAAUAAAAAUAAUACAAUCGUAGUUUCUCCACAUGGGAGACGCUGUUUCAAGCUCUACAAUGAGCAUUAAAUAAGCCAAGAAAAAAUAGAGGUAACCUAGACCAGCUUCUACUGGAGAUUUUAAUCAACAGAAGUAAAUGGAAGGAGAAGAUUGUAAUUGGUGCUAGAGUUUGCGUAAUAUCAAGUGGGCACCAUGUUGGGGACGCAUUGUGAUAACCAAGUAUGGCGCAUGAGUAUAGGAUGGGGAAAGCUCGAAUCUGAAAUGCUGUAACAUCAUUGACAAAGCCAUUUUUGCUUCUAUUAGAGCAAAGUUUUGGCCAAUACAAAUCCUAGGACCCCAUGCAAAAGGGAAGAAUGCAACUUGGUUCUUCAUAGCCUUUGAAACCCCAUCUGCAAACCUCUCCGGUUUGAACUGUCCUGCAUCCUCACCCCAAAAUGUAGGAUCACGGUGGAUGUGGAUUGUUGGCAGAGCGACUUCCACUCCAGCUGGUAGUACCAAGUCUCCAAUUCUCGUCUCUUUGUCAACUGAUCGACCAAGUCCCACAACAGGUGGAUAGAACCUCAAAACCUCGUACAAGAUCAUUGUUACCUAUACAGAAUUACACAAAAGUGCUGUCAGUAAUCCAUGGGAAUCAGUUCCAGGGAGCAUAAACAUUUUAAGUAACCUAGUUCACCAAGCAAUAAGACACAUUUUGGAAUGCAACAUACAAGGAUAAAGGAGAGGCAAAAUUGUUGGGUAUUAAACCUGAUCGUUAGUGAAAUCCAUUUUUGACAGUAAAAACAUACAAGACACUCUUUGUUGCAUUUAAGUUUUUGUUUUUUAAGAGAUUGGUAAAACAAUAUUUGAAAUGACUGAUUUUAAAUUUAAUCCGAGAAAAGAUCUAUACAUAACAAAAAGAAGAAUAAAAAUUACUUACAACUUUAAGCUGAUUCAGUCCAUCGAAGUCAGGUUUAUUUUUUCCAAAGACUUGCAAAACCUCCUCUCUUGCACGAGAUUGCCAAUUUGUAUGUUGUGCCAAUAGAACCAUUGUCCAAACAAGCAACACAGAUGUUGUCUCUUGGCCGGCAAAAUAAAAUAUCUUGCACUCUUCGAUCACGUCGUUAAUACUCAUUCCAGUAUUCUUUUUAUCUGCAUGUUCUUGAAUUUCUUUAGAAUUGGCCUCCAAAAGUAUACCUAGCAAGUCAUUCUUUGAAAACUCCCCUGCUUUCAUUGCACGUUCUCUUUUGCUGAUGAUUCCUCUUAGUGAAACUUGUAUUUCUUUGUUAAUUUCCGUAAGCCUCUUGUUAAGCUUGGUUGGAACAAAUCUGCGGAAACAAGUGAUAGUUAUGAUGAAAAAUUGGUAAAAGGAAAAGAACAUGCAUCGCCGAGCAACAUUCACUAAAACUUCGUCACAAGAAUCAUAUUCAACACAGAAUAGCUUAGAUUUACCUCAAUCCUGGAAUAUAAAAGGAUCGUAGGACUUGUCUUGUAAGUUCUGCAAGUUCAUCUUGGAGCUGAAAAAUUCUUCUGCCUUCCUGAUGGCUACUCCCAAAUGCUGUUCGAGAAAUCACAUCGCUUGUCAAAUCUGUGAGAUAAGGCCAUACAUCCACCUCACACCAUUCCUCCACAGAAACAAACUCUUCCCAUUUACUGAUCAGAUCACUGCAACUUUGGCAGAAUGCGGGCACCAUAUUCUGUCAAAUUUAUUUGAGACAGACGAUUGAAGGGAAAAAACAAUCAGACGAGAAUCAGUUAACACACAAAAAGAAAGCAAUAUGAAGCAACAAUAAGUAGAAAUACACCAAGAACCUCCCUGUUAUAACUUAAGCACUAAAAUUCUUAAUGAUUUGAUGUCUGUACUGGUAUCUAACUAGUGAUUAUGAUAACUUUUUUACCAGCAACAAUAUGUAGAAAUACACCAAGAACCUUGAGCAUUUGAUUUGGUGAAAAAGAAAAGAUAAAACCCUCUUCUAGUACCAAAUUGAGCAGAUAAAUAAGCAAACAAAUAGUGAAAAGAAAGCAGUAGAAGAAAACCUUGAGCUUCUCUAGUAGAAACGCUUGAUUAAUGAUUCUUCUAUGAGUGACCCAUUUCUCCCCCUCGCGAGUUAAAAGUCCUGUUAGCAGAUACUUAGCAAGAGGGUUCCCACCCGGUUUCUUGAAGUCAUUGAUCUUGAUAAAUACUUCUUUAAUAUGUUCUGGGUUCCUUAGAAUCACCCUCGGCACCACUCCGAGCCAUAUAAAAGUAUUUUUUCCUGCCACCAGUUUCAGAAUGUUACAGAAGAACUCAAUACCCAUCUUCACAAAAAUUGAUAGAAAUUAACAACAAAAACAUACCCUCAUAAUUAAAAUAUGGUCAAAGAGGAUAGUCAAACUCACUGUUCUUACCAUAUUUCUGCAUCAUGUUACAGAAAAAGGGGGAGACCCGAGGGACAAUAUCGUCGGUUAGGUUCAGGGGUUUGGAUAUUGCUUGUUUUGACACGUCGAACAUCUCUUUAAGAUCUCCGGAAAGAAGCCGAUAUGGGUUGCCGGAGAGACCCUGUCGUCUCAGGUACCGCUCCAGCUUCUUUGGCUUCAACCACGCCCAAUUUAGUAUUCUCCAU